CUGCUUUUAUGUUACAACCAGAGCUGAGUAGUUGUGACAGAGACCAGAUGGGCCACAAGCCUAAAAUAUUUACUGUCAGACCCUUUCCAGAAAAUGUUUGUUGGCCUCGGAAACGGAAGAGCUUACAUUGUGUCUUUGGAUACCUGGCAGAAGCAAGCUGCCUUACAGCUUGGUUCCUACCCUGAGAACUGCCGCUCCUACCUCUCAG
rnacentral:lncRNA from 1 species